UUAUUUUAAUUGUCAUUGUUGUUCUUACAAGGGAAUUAAAACAGGGAAGGGAUUAUUACACCUGUGUCAAUACCCAGAAGUUUUUUGGGACCGGCUGCCGUGAAAUUUGUUUGAAAUUCAAUAAUAACCUUACCUGGACAAUGGGGAACUGGAGGACGAUAAUCCUCAGCCAGGACAAAUUGGCGUCGUUGAACUGGAGGCUAGGGAAGGGCAGGCAGGGCCAGCAGCAGCAGGGCCCGACUUUGAGGACCAUCGCCGGGUCCGAGACCUUCCUGAGCCCGACUUCGGUGACCAGCAAGUACACUCGGUAGAAGGAUAUCGUCAGCGCCAUCUGCGUGACUGCUUCCGCUGUCCUUUAUAUUUAGCGAGAUACAGAUCUGGGACAAAAACUCGGCAUUAAAGGCUUGAGAUCGAUUAUUUUCGGGGGAAUUGUUAGUUGUUUGGCAAAAACUCUACAGAUGCCGGAGAUCGAGAUCGAGAUUCGAUCUGCUUACACAUAAUGAAGUAGUUUCAAGGAGGUAACCCCGUCUAACAGGGAACAUACAGGCUGACAUUUUUUACGCCGAACCGGUUUUAAGUAAUAGAGACACUACAAUUACAUACACGUACUUCUUAUCCUUAAGCUGUUAAUUUCGGGAAUAAAGACACUGUAACGCUUUUUUCGAAGCUACAUUUCGAGUUAACAAGAUACACAUCUUUUGUUUAUUUAUUUUUGGUGACAUUACCAUCAUAAAUACAAUUAGGGGAACGAGCUUAGCGUUUGUGCGAGUUUAUAAUUGAGGAUAAUUAUUUGCAAGGUUGGCAAUUUAUUCGAUAAGGUUUGAUUUGGAAUUUGCAGGAAGGAUAGUU